GAUGAACGCUGGCGGCGUGCCUAAUACAUGCCAGUCGAGCGAACAGACGAGGAGCUUGCUCCUUUUACGUUAGCGGCGGACGGGUGAGUAACACGUAGGUAACCUACCUAUAAGACUGGGAUAACUUCGGGAAACCGGAGCUAAUACCGGAUAAUAUUUCGAACCGCAUGGUUCGAUAGUGAAAGAUGGCUUUGCUAUCACUUAUAGAUGGACCUGCGCCGUAUUAGCUAGUUGGUAAGGUAACGGCUUACCAAGGCAACGAUACGUAGCCGACCUGAGAGGGUGAUCGGCCACACUGGAACUGAGACACGGUCCAGACUCCUACGGGAGGCAGCAGUAGGGAAUCUUCCGCAAUGGGCGAAAGCCUGACGGAGCAACGCCGCGUGAGUGAUGAAGGUCUUCGGAUCGUAAAACUCUGUUAUUAGGGAAGAACAAACGUGUAAGUAACUGUGCACGUCCUGACGGUACCUAAUCAGAAAGCCACGGCUAACUACGUG
rnacentral:rRNA from 1 species